CCGCGGCCGCUGUUUGUUAUUAAACUGCCCACAGAAAGGGCUUCGAGUAAAAACAGCAACUUUCCAGUCGGGGCGGCCCAGGUCCCCGGGCCCUGGGAAGUUCUGGGACGGCCGAGGUCUCCCCGGACACCCGCACCCACGCCCCCGUCGUGCCCUUUCUGGCUUUUGGCUUCCUCUCCUCGAUUUCCCUUUUGUGCGGCCCCGGGCAGCUUCCUCAGGCCCCGCUGCCCCCACCUGGCCGCCCUGGGAGCUGUUCCUCCCCCAGCAGCAGGAGCAUCCAGCUCGGGUUUUAUUUCCUCCCGAGACACUCGAGGAAGCCUCAGGGGUAUCAGCCAUGAACCUUGUGAUGGACAGGAAAAGAUAUUGCUUUUCCUCCCCUACAAAUUCCAAAGAAGAACCCUGCCACAGAACUGUCCCAUAGACUGGUAUUGUUCACAGGCCACUUAGAAAGGCCUUCAGAGGACCCACUAGGGUCAGCUUCACUGCAGUUUCCUGGUGGCACUUUGACAGUCUACAAACCAGCUGGAAAGCAAAGACCGUCAUCAUGAAAAGGCCCUGGGCAGCAAACAGAGCCCCGACUUCCAUCUAGAGCUCAGCCUGAAGGAAAGCUCCAGCCAGAGGCUCCAGCCACCGGGUCUCAGAGCUACAGGCACUUUUACACAGGGGUAGACAGAGAUGAGGUGGGAGCUGAUGCAUUAUGCCUGGAAGGUACCAAGAAAAUGAUCAUGGAUAUUUCUAUUUGACACUUUAUUGUGUUUUUCUUUUUAAAAGAUUUGAAAUCGUUCAGGACAAUUUCUUAUUUCUAGCAACAGAGUGAUCUAAACCACUGAUUGCUUGGAAAUCAAGAGAUUCUGUUUAUGGAUCUGAACUUAGGUCUAACAACUCUUUUUCACACUAUCGGCGGGCUUUAGCAGUGCAGUUUCCAGAUAGUAUCUGAAAUUUUAAAAAGGGGAGCGUGGGGAGAGAAAAUAAUUUGGGAGUAAUCUGAGCCUCUCCGAAACGGAUAAGAUCCAAGAAACCUCAGUCUCAAAUGACAUGCAGAGCAAUUUGUACAUUCAUUUACUGACUCCAAAAUGGUCUCAUUCUUACUGAAUCGGUUUUUGUCCUGUUUCUUUUAAAACCUAACGCCCUUAGCUGUUAGCAACAUAUUUUUAAAUGACAUUAGAGUGCCCUUUUCUAAUUGGUAAAAAGCAAUCAUCAUGAGGAUGAGUCAUUCCAGGACCCAGACGUCCCCUCAGUGUCCAGUUUCCUCCAGAAACACUUAGGUACGAAAGUGGGUCAGAAGUGCCCAUCAUCCCAGGCAUAUUCCUUCUUGAAUGUUUAAACCAACAUUGUUUUGUACUUAUAAGGAAUUGUUAUACUAAUCAUUUUUUUGCCAAAUUGGCCAUAAUAUAAUCCACCUACCACUGACCAACUACAGAAGAAAAAUUAAACAAAAGUUUUGCUGUUGUUAUCCUUUUUUUUCCUAGGGGUUGAGCUUCUGAAGCCAGGAGGUCACUUGGAUUAUGUAUACAACCUUAGUAAUUGCAUUCCUACAUUCUACGAAAUGCCACAGGACUCACUACAGUCCAAAAUAGCUGUUGCAAACAAUGACAAUUACUGCCCAGACAUUUUCAAACACAGCAGGUUACUGGCUGAAGCUGUGAUGGAAACCCUAAAAAAAUAUAAAUAUUUUGAAAUGCUCUGUAAAUCAGAAUGAUGCCCCAGACACAGAGUGGAUUGUCUUGAAGAAAACUGAAGUCAUUUGGAGGCUGCGAGGCUUUGUUGAAGGCUGUUGGAAAAUAUUGAACUUGUUAAUAUGAAGCCCAAAUGUCAUAAUUAAAUGAUUUUUAAGUUUUCUU